rnacentral:rRNA from 1 species
UACGGAGGGUCCAAGCGUUAUCCGGAAUCAUUGGGUUUAAAGGGUCCGUAGGCGGUUUUGUAAGUCAGUGGUGAAAGCCCGGAGCUCAACUCCGGAACUGCCAUUGAUACUGAUGGGCUUGAGUACAGUUGAGGUUGGCGGAAUGUGUCAUGUAGCGGUGAAAUGCUUAGAUAUGACACAGAACACCGAUUGCGAAGGCAGCUGGCUAAGCUGUUACUGACGCUGAGGCACUAAAGCGUGGGGAUCAAACAGG